rnacentral:rRNA from 1 species
AUUGAACGCUGGCGGCAGGCCUAACACAUGCAAGUCGAGCGGAUGGAGGGAGCUUGCUCCUGGAUUCAGCGGCGGACGGGUGAGUAAUGCCUAGGAAUCUGCCUGGUAGUGGGGGAUAACGUCCGGAAACGGGCGCUAAUACCGCAUACGUCCUGAGGGAGAAAGUGGGGGAUCUUCGGACCUCACGCUAUCAGAUGAGCCUAGGUCGGAUUAGCUAGUUGGUGGGGUAAAGGCCUACCAAGGCGACGAUCCGUAACUGGUCUGAGAGGACGAUCAGUCACACUGGAACUGAGACACGGUCCAGACUCCUACGGGAGGCAGCAGUGGGGAAUAUUGGACAAUGGGCGAAAGCCUGAUCCAGCCAUGCCGCGUGUGUGAAGAAGGUCUUCGGAUUGUAAAGCACUUUAAGUUGGGAGGAAGGGCAGUAAGUUAAUACCUUGCUGUUUUGACGUUACCAACAGAAUAAGCACCGGCUAACUUCGUG